rnacentral:rRNA from 1 species
GUAGUCCACGCCGUAAACGAUGAAUACUAGGUGUGAGGGUUGUCAUGACCUUCGUGCCGCCGCUAACGCAUUAAGUAUUCCGCCCGGGGAGUACGGUCGCAAGAUUAAAACUCAAAGGAAUUGACGGGGGCCCGCACAAGCAGCGGAGCAUGUGGUUUAAUUCGAAGCAACGCGAAGAACCUUACCUAGACUUGACAUCUCCUGCAUUCCUUAAUCGGGUAAGUCUUCGGACAGGAAGACAGGUGGUGCAUGGUUGUCGUCAGCUCGUGUCGUGAGAUGUUGGGUUAAGUCCCGCAACGAGCGCAACCCUUAUUGUUAGUUGCUACCAUUUAGUUGAGCACUCUAGCGAGACUGCCCGGGUUAACCGGGAGGAAGGUGGGGAUGACGUCAAAUCAUCAUGCCCCCUUAUGUCUAGGGCUACACACGUGCUACAAUGGCUGGUACAGAGAGAUGCGAUACCGUGAGGUGGAGCCAAACUUCAAAAACCAGUCUCAGUUCGGAUUGUAGGCUGAAACUCGCCUACAUGAAGCUGGAGUUGCUAGUAAUCGCGAAUCAGAAUGUCGCGGUGAAUACGUUCCCGGGCCUUGUACACACCGCCCGUCACACCAUGAGAGUUGGCAAUUACCCAAAAGUUGGUGAUCUAACCCGUAAGGGAGGAAGCCACCUAAAGGUAGGGUCAGCGAUUGGGGUGAAGUCGUAGCAAGGUAGCCGU